AGAGUUUGAUCCUGGCUCAGGAUGAACGCUAGCGGCAGGCCUAACACAUGCAAGUCGAGGGGUAGAGGGUGCUUGCACCCUUGAGACCGGCGCACGGGUGCGGAACGCGUAUGGAACCUGCCCCUGUCAGGGGAAUAGCCCAGGGAAACUUGGAUUAAUGCCCCAUGGUAUCGGAGUAUCGCAUGAUAUUCCGAUUAAAGAUUUAUCGGACAGGGAUGGCCAUGCGUACCAUUAGCUUGUUGGUAAGGUAACGGCUUACCAAGGCAACGAUGGUUAGGGGCCCUGAGAGGGGGAUCCCCCACACUGGUACUGAGACACGGACCAGACUCCUACGGGAGGCAGCAGUGAGGAAUAUUGGACAAUGGUCGGAAGACUGAUCCAGCCAUGCCGCGUGCAGGAUGACGGCCCUAUGGGUUGUAAACUGCUUUUAUACGGGAAGAAACGCACCUACGUGUAGGUGUCUGACGGUACCGUAAGAAUAAGGACCGGCUAACUCCGUGCCAGCAGCCGCGGUAAUACGGAGGGUCCGAGCGUUAUCCGGAAUCAUUGGGUUUAAAGGGUCCGUAGGCGGGCCUGUAAGUCAGGGGUGAAAGUUUGUGGCUCAACCAUAAAAUUGCCUUUGAUACUGCAGGUCUUGAGUCAUGGUGGGGUUGCCGGAACAUGUGGUGUAGCGGUGAAAUGCAUAGAUAUCACAUAGAACACCGAUCGCGAAGGCAGGUGACCAACCAUGUACUGACGCUGAUGGACGAAAGCGUGGGUAGCGAACGGGAUUAGAUACCCCGGUAGUCCACGCCGUAAACGAUGGAUACUAGCUGUGGGGACCUCGGUCUCCGUGGCCAAGCGAAAGUGAUAAGUAUCC
rnacentral:rRNA from 1 species